UACGAAGGGGGCUAGCGUUGUUCGGAAUUACUGGGCGUAAAGCGUACGUAGGCGGAUUGUUAAGUGAGGGGGUGAAAUCCCGAGGCUCAACCUCGGAACUGCCUUUCAUACUGGCAAUCUUGAGUCCGGGAGAGGUGAGUGGAACUCCUAGUGUAGAGGUGAAAUUCGUAGAUAUUAGGAAGAACACCAGUGGCGAAGGCGGCUCACUGGCCCGGAACUGACGCUGAGGUACGAAAGCGUGGGGAGCAAACAGG
rnacentral:rRNA from 1 species